CAUUGAUUCUAGUAUCAACAACGUGAGUAGCGGUGAUGUAUGGGAAGUGCUCAUUCUGAUGGACUUUUGUAGAGGUGGCCAGGUGGUAAACCUGAUGAACCAGCGCCUGCAAACAGGCUUUACAGAGAAUGAAGUGCUCCAGAUAUUUUGUGAUACCUGUGAAGCUGUUGCCCGCCUGCAUCAGUGCAAAACUCCUAUUAUCCACCGGGACCUGAAGGUUGAAAACAUCCUCUUGCAUGACCGAGGCCACUAUGUCCUGUGUGACUUUGGAAGUGCCACCAACAAAUUCCAGAAUCCACAAACUGAGGGAGUCAAUGCAGUAGAAGAUGAGAUUAAGAAGUAAGCUUUUUCUCCUUUCAUGGAGUUUUGUCCACAAUCAGAUGAGCAACUUUACCUUCAGCUUAUGGAUGAGAAGGUCAGGGUGGGGAGAGAAUGGUGAUAGUCAGUUGUCCUUCAUCUCAGAGCAUCAUGUUCACAGUUGGGCUGUUUGACUUUAAGUGAAGAAUGAGGAGGGGGUUUACAAGCAUACAUCAGAGUAAAAGGAGGGACUCUUAGAGCACUUUAUCAGUGGUCCUGUGGUCAUUGUACAUAGAUGUUUUGAUUUAUGAUGUCACAGAGCCUAUAAAAAGCUGAGAGUUGCACACACCAUAAAAGUACUAACAU
rnacentral:sRNA from 1 species